rfam:Ixodes scapularis strain Wikel colony gcontig_1108378754496, whole genome shotgun sequence.
GGUUAGCUCAGUUGGUAGAGCGCUCCACCUGUAAUGGAGAGGUCCCGGGUUCGAUACCCGGACC